AUGGAGGAUCAGUUAGAGGGAGAGGAGAAACAAUGGGGCUAUGACUCAUCUGAUGAGGAUUAUUCUUAUGAUGAAGAUUCAGAUGGGCACAUGGUGAGGAGGAAGAGCCAGUAUCCAAGAUACAAUAAUGACUCAGAAAUUCCACACUUUGCAUUGACAAUGGUAUUUAGGAGCAAGAAUCAACUUGUCAAAGCAUUGAAGAAAUAUGGAAUUGUGACCAAAAAAAGCAUUGUGUUCUUGAAGUCAGAGAGUAACAGAGUUAGGGCUAAGUGUGGAUGGCCUGGCUGCCCUUGGCUUAUUUAUGGAGCCAAAACCUCAAGAACAAGCAGGUUUCAAAUCAUAACAUUCAAUGAUGAGCACCACUGUGCACAAAACAGGGAGAACAGACUUGUGAUAGCUAAGGUUAUUGCUGAAAGAUAUUAGCACUUCAUUUUAGCUAAUCCAAUGUGGAAAAUUGAGAGCAUGAAAGCAACAGUUCUUCGGGACAUGUUUGCUGAUGCGUCCACUUCUAAGUGCAAGCAUGCAAAGAAGCUUGUCAUGGACAAGUUAAGGGCUGGAAUGAAG
rnacentral:rRNA from 1 species